AUGUGAUUGAACUCCUCAACCUUGGUCACCAUGAACGAGCCCUUCUUCGGGUAGAGCAUGUGAUCAGAGGACAAAAUAUGGUGGAUGCAUUCACCAUAAUGGAAAGCUACUGUCAUCUGUUGAUAGAGAGAGUCACGCUCAUUCAAAAGAACAAGGAAUGUCCUGAUGAACUGAAGGAGGCAACAUCAAGCUUGAUGUUUGCAUCAUCAAGAUGUGGAGAAUUCCCAGAGCUUCUUCACAUUCGUGGGGUCGUAUCAUCGACUUUUGGGAAAGAAUUUGUUGC